ensembl:snRNA U4 U4 spliceosomal RNA
AGCUUUGCGAGGUGGCAGUAUCGUAGCCUAUGAGGUUUAUCCGAGGUGCGAUUAUUGCUAAUUGAAAAAUUUUGGGUGCAACUUUAAAAAUACAUGCCUGACAGAAAUCCUCCAGGAUUUCUGACUUCUAAAAAUUAG